CAAAGUGCAGUUUUUCACGCUGACUUUCAUUGUUAACAGUCUUUCUGAAAUGUUUAUGUGUUGCUGACCCGCCGACAAUCUACUAACUGUAAGUUCAGACAUUACCCAAGCGGCUUAAGAAUCUCUAUUGUAUUAUCAUACGUGCAAGCAAAAGAAUCUGCUUCCCAUUCUGUUAAGAUGCCAGAAAUUAGUUAUCGCUUGCAUCAUAUCAAUUUUAUCGUUAAAAUACUUUGGUUCGCGGGCUUAUAUCACACGACUAUACGUAAAGUAAUCGUGAUGAAGGAAAAUAAUACAAAUCAAGUCCAACUGCGUGAUGAAG